CGACAGACCAUGGAGGAAAUACAGGCUCAGUACAGAGCUCUCAGCCAUAUGAUGCCUCUGCGUAGUGAGUUGAACGGAUAUCCUGUGAAGCUACUAGACAUGAACACAGUUGGUGAAGGUGCUGCUGCUGCUGCAGCCCCAGGAACUGUCGUGGUU